rnacentral:rRNA from 1 species
AUUGAACGCUGGCGGCAUGCCUUACACAUGCAAGUCGAACGGUAACGCGGGGCAACCUGGCGACGAGUGGCGAACGGGUGAGUAAUGCAUCGGAACGUGCCCAAUCGUGGGGGAUAACGUAGAGAAAUUUACGCUAAUACCGCAUGAGAUCUAUGGAUGAAAGCAGGGGAUCGCAAGACCUUGCGCGAUUGGAGCGGCUGAUGUCAGAUUAGGUAGUUGGUGGGGUAAAAGCCUACCAAGCCGACGAUCUGUAGCUGGUUUGAGAGAACGACCAGCCACACUGGGACUGAGACACGGCCCAGACUCCUACGGGAGGCAGCAGUGGGGAAUUUUGGACAAUGGGCGCAAGCCUGAUCCAGCAAUGCCGCGUGCAGGAAGAAGGCCUUCGGGUUGUAAACUGCUUUUGUACGGAACGAAACGGCUCUGGUUAAUACCCGGGGCUAAUGACGGUACCGUAAGAAUAAGCACCGGCUAACUACGUGCCAGCAGCCGCGGUAAUACGUAGGGUGCGAGCGUUAAUCGGAAUUACUGGGCGUAAAGCGUGCGCAGGCGGUUAUGUAAGACAGUUGUGAAAUCCCCGGGCUCAACCUGGGAAUUGCAUCUGUGACUGCAUAGCUAGAGUGCGGCAGAGGGGGAUGGAAUUCCGCGUGUAGCAGUGAAAUGCGUAGAUAUGCGGAGGAACACCGAUGGCGAAGGCAAUCCCCUGGGCCUGCACUGACG